ensembl:lncRNA
GCCCCAUAUCUAAUAUCAGUAUCCUGUUGGAAUUGAGAGAACCUUUGCCUCUUCUAGCAAUGGACCUCUGUUUUCUGCUCCAAGCUCAGACCCUUCCUGGAAUAGGAGGAAUCUUGAGAUCUCGGGUUUCUCACCUGAUCCAUCCUGGGGAUGAGGAAAGAUUCACAGAAGAGAGCGCAGGAGGGCAGCAUCAAGGUUAAGAGAACUUUGGCCACCUGGCUCUGAGAACUGAAUUCCAUAGGCUGUGAGCUCUAGCAAAUGCCCUAGGGACUCAGUUCUGGUGCCCGGCUGCGCUACACCAUCAAUACUGAGGUCACAGGGCAUCAGCCAGGUGCUGCCACUGGCCCAAUCUUUUAACAACUUCAGUUCAAGCCACUCUUCUUGUCAGAGACUUCAAUGGCUCCCCAAAACUCCUCACUUUGCCGUUAAAGUCUUUCGAAGUAUGGCCUCCACUUAGCUUUGAAGCCUGACCCUCCACUGCUUCCUGGUUAUAACCUGCCUUCCAGUGAAACCCUGCUCCUUCCUGCUCCUUCUGCCACGCUUUUACUUGUGCUGACCCCUCCUCAGUUCUUCUCUGGACACCUCCUUUUCAUCGCUGUUAGAUUCCUACACCUCCUUCAAAGUCUUUCUCAGAUGCCUCUUACAAGAAGCUUCUCCAGUGCCUCAAUGAUGCAUAUGAUGUCCUACAAAUCCUCCACACUCUGCUUCCAGUGGGGCUUGAUUCAUGAGCCCCAUGAUGACUAGUCUAGUAUUCUUCAGAGUGGCUGUUCAAUAAAUGUUCCUUGUAUUUUGCUGAGCAUGUCUAAUGUAUGAAAAGGCCUAUAUGUUAAGGCUACGUCAGAUUUCCCAGGUUUAUAGGCCUCAGUUUCCUUAUCUGUAAAUGGGGAUAAUAAUUAUAUACACAUCAAGGUUUUGUGAAAAUUAAAUGAUAGUUUCUGUACAGGGCUUAGCACAGUGCCUGCACACAGUAAGUGCUCAGUUAAGUGUGUAAGAUUGUUGUGAUAAUUACCCUCCUUUCAGUAGAAUGUGAGUUACCCAGUUGGGAGGUGGGAUAGGGUUUAAAAUUGGUCAGUCAUGGUUUAUUGGCAAAGGGCUCUAAACCAAAUGCCAGGGUUGGGUAAGGCUGGGGGAAAGCCAGGAGGAGAAGUCCAUCAGGAUGAGAGUAUGGUGGCUCAAGACCCACUGAAAUAGGGACAGUAGGUAGAUUCCCACCUACUGUGUGACCUUGGGUGAGUCACUCCUCUCUGGCCUUGGUUUCCCAACGGAAGGUAACUUGAGGAGGUUGAGCCAGGUAAACAGUAAAGUCUCUGGCAGCCCUGAUGUUUUAUGAGUUCUAAGCUUCUAAGGGUUAAGUUCAAAGAAAAGAUCAAAGAAAGAAACAUCUAGGACUCCCUGCAGGGCUUCCUUACAGCCACAGACAGGGCUGGAGCACUGGGGUUUGGAAGCAAUGGCAGGCUGGACUGAGCUGAGUAGCAGCCCUUCCUUCAAAAAGUCUAUAAUUGGGGACCUCCUCCCUCACCGGGGCUGGGGGAUAGGGGUAAAUUAUGUGCAGUUUCUGGAUAUUUCCAGGGCAUAAGUGAAGGCCUUGGGGGAAGAAUGUGUGUGAGCAAUGUGGAUUCUUAGAGAUGAGGAGAGUUGAGAGACUUUAAGAGUGGGCCUGAGAGGGUAGAAGAGGAAGGGGAUUCAGAAAAAAAUCUUAUAUGGUGGGAGAUUCAUGAUUUACUUAACCUGCUGUGUUUCAAAAAAAAAGAAAAAGGAUUUGAGGAGGCUUACCAGCAUGUAGAAAAUUCUCUAAGAUUAAAAUAUAAAAUCUGUGACAAAUUACAUUUUAAAUGUGUAUCCUUUUUGAUCCAGAGACUCAAUAUCCUUAUUAUCACUAGUUUUAGUUAGAAAUUGUUUCAGACUUACAGAAAAGUUGCAAGAAUAGUACAAAGAACUGUGACUUAACCUUAUACCAGAUUCACCAACUGUUAACCUUUUUCUUUUUCUUUUUUUUUGCCAUAUUGCUUUCUUUAAUAUAUAGUCCUCAUUCAAAUCUUGCUACUUGUCCCAACAUUGUCCUUCAUAACAAUGUUCAUUCUGGUCUAGCAUCCAAAAGAGGAUCAUGCAUUGCAUUUAGUUUUCAUGUCUGUUUCAUCUCCUUUGACUUGAAACCUUUGUUUGUUAUGACACUGACAUUUUUGAAAAUUUUUCUCUCAAUUUAGGUUUUUGUUUCCUGAUGAUUAUGCCUUACCACUGAAUUUUUGAUGUUGUAUUUUUUCAGUUUAACAUAUCCAAAGCACAUGAUGUCAGUUUGUCUCCAUUAAAGAAAAAAAUUAAAGACACUCAUUAAAGAUGUGUCCUUGAUUCGGUCAGUGGAAGUCCCUUCAAGUUGGCGCCUUUGUUCUUUUGAUAUUUUUGAGGAGUCCUUUAAUUUCUGGCACAAGUUGUUCCAGGCUCAUCUUGUACCUUUCCUGCCACAGCCUUGAAAUCAGCCAUUCUCCCAAGGGGAGUGGUUCCUUUUUUGGAGGAUGGAAUUUAGAAUCACAGAUCUGGGCACUGGCUGUGCUUGUUGCUACCAGGGUGUCAUUGUUCAAUGAUUCAAUCUCUAAUUUUAAGGUUUCAGAUUCCACAAUUUAACACUUGUAUAUGUAAACAAAGAUGCAUAUUCAAGGACAUUUAUUUUCUCAUCACUCUCUCAGCUUAUUUCUCAAAUGUCUCCUAACUGUUCUCCCUAUUUCUACAAUGGCCCCUCUAUAGUCUCUUUUCCACACAUCAUCCAGAAUAAUUUAAAAAAAAAUCUCAUCACAUUUCCCUGUGCUCAUAAUCUCCUCUAAGGAAAAAAAUCCAAAAUUUUCUACAUGGCUUCAAGAUGCCACAGGAUCCAGCUUCAUCUGUAACUUCAUUAACUAUUCAGUUCAGUUCAGUCACUCAGUCAUGUCUGACUCCUUGUGACCCCAUGAAGCACAGCAUGCCAGGCCUCCCUGUCCAUCACCAACUCCCAGAGUCCACCCAAACCCAUGUCCACUGAGUCGGUGAUGCCAUCCAUUAACUGUUACAUUCCCACUAACUCACGGGACAAGGACACCCCAGCCAAGGGUGUUUGUACUUGCUUUUCUCCCCCAGCUAUUUAAAUAGCUUGCAAAGCUCUUUAUUAGGUCUUCACUGAAGAGUCAUCUCUUCUGAGAAGCCUUCCCUAAGUAUCCUGCUGAAAAUAGCACCCCAUCACUUACUGCUGUAUGACACUGCAUUGUAUAUUCCCCUUUGCUUAUUGUCAGUCUUCAUUUCCCUACAUUACAUCUCUAAAGUAAGCUCUAUCAAGAGCAGAGAGUUGUUUAUUUUUCUCCUAGAGCCCCAGUGCCUAGAAUACUGCCCAGCACAUGUGGGCUUUCAAAUGCCUGUUAAGUCAAUGAAGAUGACUUUCAUUCCUUGGGACUUUUGCAUUUACCAUACUUUCUGCCUGGCUUCCCCUCACCCUUCUCUUUGCACAGCUAGCUUUUUCAUAUUCUUUAGGUCUCAGCUUAAAUGUUUUCCAUAAGGACAGAAACUGCCAUGGCUAUCUCAUUCACGACUAUAUCCUCAGGGCCUGCAAUAGUUCUUGGCAAAUAAAAGGCAUUCAAGAAAUUUGUUGAAUGGACUUUUAAUAGCUAAAAACUGAAAAGAAUCCAAAUGCUAUAGACUGUUAAAGAAUGAGGUAACACCAUGUGCACUGGCAUAAAACGAUGUCCAAGAUAUACUUAGUGUAAAAUGCAACAAGCAAGACUGCAAUUCCUUUUAUGUAGGUAAUAUGAGGUGCACAGAAAAAAACAGUAAAAAAUACUAGAUUGGACCUCAGUAAUCAUUUGCGGGUGAUGGUCUUCCCAGGUGGCCCUAGUGGUAAAGAACCCUCCUGCCAAUGCAGGAGACAUAAGAGACACAGGUUAAGUCUCUGGGUCAGGAAGAUCCCCUGCAGGAGGAUACGGCAACCCAUUCCAGUAUCCUUGCCUGGAGAAUCUCAUGGACAGAGGAGCCUGGUGGGUGACAGUGCAUAGGGUCACACACAGCUGGACACAACUGAAGGGACUUAGCAUGCCACACAAAAUAUCAGAACAGAUUUUAAUUCUCCAUUUAAUAAAUUUCAGUAUUGCAAACUACUUUUUAAAAACAAAUAAUAACCUUUGAGCACUUAGUAUAUGACAGUUAUUGUGGUAAACACUUUGUGUGCAGGAUUUCAUGAUAUCUUCUCAAUAAUCUUAUGAGAUAAGUCCUGAUACCAUCAUCCCCAUUCGCGAUGAGGAAAUUGGUUCAGGGACAUUAAAUAGUUCACUCAAGGUCACACAGUAGACCUAACACACUACAACAACUCCCUGUGUUUCCAUAAUUUAAAAAAAUAAGGAAAGGAAAAUAAGAUGAAACUAGGGGUAACAGUUCAGGAUCCAGGUUUUACACAAAAGAUGCUAAGCAAAUUUGGCUCCCCAGAAACCAGGGCAAAGAGAAAAAUAUGAUCAAUUAUGAGAUCCUUGGUGCUUCACAGAUAAAAAAACCAUUCAUCAGGAGAAACAUCGUUACCAAGUGCUGAGGUUUAACAGAACUUCUGCAUGAAGCUCAUAAUUAUAGCAGUGUUCAAUCAAGUGAUCUGCAGUUUCAGUAACAUACCUGUAUACCCAGGUAUCUUCUGGCCAACUACAAAUGGAAGUUCACUGAAAGCAUUUCCAUGAGGAGCCAAACUUAUGCAGCCUGGGUCUUAGAUCUGGUGGUAUGGCUAGAGCUGUAGUUAAAAUUCGAUGUGUGGCUUAAUCCUCCAGCAAACUCCUAGAAUAGCGCACAUUCAACCUAUUAAAGACUGUCAGCAAGAAGGAGGAGACAAGAUACAAAUAUAUGUAUGACUGAGUCCCUUCGAUGUUCACCUGAAACUAUCACAACAUUGUUUAUCGGCUAUCCCACAAUAUAAAAGUUUAAAAAGAAUCAGGAAACAAGAUGUGACAUUCAUCUUAGAUUUCAACCCUGGUAAAAUUUCCAGGUAGGCUGUACUAGUUUUAUUCUUCUUUAACAGAUGAAUAAACUGAGGCUCAGAGAGUCUAGAAAAUGUCAGUCAGUUCAGUUCAGUCCGUCCAACUCUUUGCAACCCCAUGGACUGCAGCAUGACAUUCCUCCCUGUCCAUCACCAACUCCCAGAGUUUACCCAAACUCAUGUCAGAGCCAGCCCUAAAUCUGUGUCUUAGGGAUCCCUUCCUCAGCCAUGCUUGCCAUCCACACCUCAACAAAAUAGCUGAUGCCCUCAGAAUCUCUCUAUGGGUGGUGGGCCUCAGGACCUAGGAGAAAGUCCUCUUGCACUGGAAGGGAGCUGGUUAAGGGAAAUGGGGCCCGGCGAGUGAGGAAGUACACAUUUCCCACUCUAAUUCCUGACACCUUGUACCCCAAAAAGGGAAGUAAGGCUCACAUUACAUAGAUGAAGAAACCCCACCUCCACCCCCAAACAUAAAAACAAUCUUAAAGCCUACACCUGACUUCAGUCAUUUACUUUUCUUUACAGGCUGGGAAUAAGUGGGCCCUCAGCUUGGGGAGUUAGGGCAGAUUUCCUGGAGAGAAGAGACGAAAAAGGGCACGUGGGGGCUCAUUGCAGGGCAGGGUUCAUGGGGAGGAGGUUGGGCAGGGAGGAAACAAAGGGUCCAGACCCUUCCUCCACCACACGCUCAGGCUUUCCAAGUCCAAGGAGAAGGAAGGAGUAACAGGACACCCACUCAGAUCUCUUUGAUCCCUUUUCGCCCUCGCCCCGCCAUCCUGCAAAAACCUGAAAUCAAGGAAGAGCAGCAAGCCAGCGGUGCUUAAAAAAAAAAAAAAAAAGGCAAAAAUACAGGUGACAGGUGCACCCAGCCCCAGCGCAUAGCUGCGGCGGCAGGAAAACGGCGCGCGUGCUCACCGUCGCCUGCCGCCGGGCCUCGCGCGCCCUCAGCUCAAGCCUUCCUCUUCUGCCGGCGGCCGCGCUCCACCGCUUCCCCCGCGGGACUGUUGUCCCCGCUGUCGCUGCUGGCCGGCGGCCACAGGGCUCCCCUCUCGACGCGGUUCUCGG